AGAAUAAUUCAUGAAAAACAUCUCUAAAUGGAGUCUUUCCUUCUCCUAUUCACUUUGCUUUGUCUUAAAGAAGAUUUCAGUGGCAGUGUUUUGAUCACUCAAUGGCCGGAGUACAUAUCCAGCCUUCCAGGAUCUUCAGUUGAAAUGCACUGUUACCAGAAUGAUACAGACUAUGACUACAAAUACUGGUACAGGCAUAUAAAAGGUGAAGGGCCAGUGCUUGUUGGAAGCAACCAUUUUAACUCUCCCUCUAUUGAGAAGGACUUUAAAACUGGCUUUAAAGUGUCGGGUACAGAGAAAAAGAAAUGGACCCUGACUGUGGAUGUUAAGGAGGGGAUUGAUGCUGUGUAUCUGUGUGCUGCUAGUUUACACAGUGAAUAAAAGACAAUAAACUAUACGACAAAAAACUCUUUGGAUGGCAACGGCAAUCACACCUGCCUCAACCACAAAUAAAUGAACCCAUAUCUUUACAGACAAGUCAGUAGUGGCUGAGAACUCGCAUAAGCACUUGUAUU